rnacentral:rRNA from 1 species
GAUGAACGCUGGCGGCGUGCCUAAUACAUGCAAGUCGAGCGAACGGACGAGAAGCUUGCUUUUCUGAUGUUAGCGGCGGACGGGUGAGUAACACGUGGAUAACCUACCUAUAAGACUGGGAUAACUUCGGGAAACCGGGUCUAAUACCGGAUAAUAGUUUGAACCGCAGGGUUCAACAGUGAAAGACGGUCUUGCUGUCACUUAUAGAUGGUUCCUCGCUGCAUUAGCUAGUUGGUAAGGUAACGGCUUACCAAGGCAACGAUGCAUAGCCGACCUGAGAGGGUGAUCAGCCACACUGGAACUGAGACACGGUCCAGACUCCUACGGGAGGCAGCAGUAGGGAAUCUUCCGCAAUGGGCGAAAGCCUGACGGAGCAACGCCGCGUGAGUGAUGAAGGUCUUCGGAUCGUAAAACUCUGUUAUUAGGGAAGAACAUAUGUGUAAGUAACUGUGCACAUCUUGACGGUACCUACUCAGAAAGCCACGGCUAACUACGUG